UCUCUCUCUAGCGUUUGAGAGGGAAGGACCUGGCUGCCUGGGAGUUGAGCAGGGACUUGAGGCAGAAAAGUGUUAUUUGGCCACAACAAGCUAUUUUCAAUAUAAAACAAUGGCAAGUGUCCGGUUAGGGAUAAUGCCUGAAAAUCACAGUGGUGCCCACAGGGCAGAGAACUGUGCAAAAUGGCAGAUUCUUCCUUUGGGCCUCACUCUGCAGCUGCUCUCCGAUGAGUCCCUUGGCCCGGCACACAGGUUUAAGUACUGCAGUGCGUGAGCAAAGGGGUGAAAAACCAUGUUCCGGUUCCACCAGCAAGAUGAACUUGUUACACCCUGCAUCUACUGGAGAUGUAUUGAUUAGCCUUAGCUUGGACUUGGAGCUGGAUCACUGUGCCCAUUGGAUGUUCUUUUCACAAAGAUUUUUUUAUUUAUUGAAUUACUCUUCCAAAGGAUUUUGAGAUCUUUACAGCUUAAUUUCUUUAAAAAUAAAUACAACUAAAGGCUAA